ensembl:lncRNA
GCAUUUGGAGUUUACAGUCAUAUUUUAAAUUACUAAAAAAAAAGUGUGUACCGUGCCUUUUAAAGUUGGCUAUAAUCUCCCCUGCAUUUGAAGAUGAUAAUGAUGGAGUCAAAAUUUUUACAUAUUUGUUGUUUCCUUCACGAAAGUCUUGGCUUUGAAGACCUUAUUUACAUACUGAUGAUUCUUUAAUCCUUAAAUCGAAAAAGAUUUUAUUUACACCUAAAAAAAUCACUUUAUGUCCCAACAAAAAAACGAUUUUCCACAAGGAUUUGAAUAGAGCAGACAACCACACACACACACACACACACACACACACACACACACACACACACACACACACUCGCUCCCUACAUACCAUAAUUGAAUCAGACAAAGGCCCGAUCAGUUCACAUAAUUAGACAUGGUGGAAAGUGAGAUGAAAGCGGCAUCCUGGCUUUCUCUUUGGUUGGUUUAGCUGUGGGGAGAGGCAGCUGUUCAUAUCUUAUAUUUAUCUCCAGAGCACAAACACACACACCUGACCACACACACAAGGACACUCAGGAGAAUAGUACUGUGAGGACAAAGUGCUGUGGUGCUUUGGAGGUUUUAAACAUGAGAGAAAGGCAGAGCCAGAGGGAGAGGCAGACAGAAGACAGAAAAUGAAAUGCUAGGCUUGUUUGUUAGCCCACUGUGCCGUACAGUUUUAUCAAAAAGGAACAAAGAGAAGCUGAUGAAAGCUGAGCUGUAACCAACGCUGUGGGUGAGACACAGCUAGUCAAGGAGUUUUUCACGUUAGACAGAGUUGCUGUUAAUAGCAGUCCUCCUCCUCCUAGAAAUAACCCACUUUGUCUCACAUGAAAGCUCUAACCCUUUAUUAUGUUGACAGGCUCCUGGAUUCGAAAUGAAAGUCACACUCCAGUGCUGCUAUUGAAUGCUUUUAGCAAGUGCAGGAAAUAAUAAACUGCAAAAGAAUGGGAAUAAUGGAGAUAUCACAGGAAACUAACAGACUUCUACAGACGAGGCUAAAACAGCUUAACGUGUCCGAUAGCAAUCUGGAAACCCAUUGUGUUUGUGCUCAUGUUUGGACCCUUUAUAUCAGUAAUUCCCAACUUUUUUCAUUCUUGACCACUUAAAAUAAGGUAUUACCUGCAUGAAACCAUUUAUCACAGGUUAUGGCCAUAUUGUUGACAGGAGUUGUGAGCAGUUCAACCAAAGAUUUCUAUUUUCUUAUAAUUUGAACACAGGUAGCGCAUCAAGGCAAAAUAGCGACUGCCGUAUAAAUGCAGCAUUUAAAAAAAUGCGGAUGUGAAAAAUACUUCUUCUUAGCCUGAUGGUGACAUUUAAAAACAUUUAAAAGCAGAUUGUUUUUGUGUCACGGGGUAAUAAAGCCUCAGCUGCAUUAUCGUCCAAAUCACCAGGGGCCCCAAAACCCUCUGUUCUGUGUCAAAAAACAGUGUGAGGUUCUGGUUGGUUCCUGGGCAGAUAAUGCAGCUGCCAUAGGAACAAGGCGGACAUGAGGACAGGGCACAGACAUACACAACUCACAGAGGAGGUAGAGAAGUGGAUAGAGGUGAUCAAUAGAGGCCCAGAGGGUAAUGUGUGUGCCUGAAGAAAUGAAUCUUAUGUGUUUGAAUUAUGUUUUAGAGGCUCAUAAGAGGUUAAACUGUUCAGUAGAAGAUCCAGAAAAGUGAGAAUUUUACAUUUCCUCUCAAAGAUGGUGCAUAUAGGUGUUGUUGCAUUACUAUUGAACUGUUUUACGUGAUGCAUCAGUCCACUGCCUGUGUGUGCACCCAAUGAGUGGGUGCACCAUGUGCUGGGCGUGAAUUACAGAGCAGUCAGAGGGGAACUUGGCUCCGAUUAAUAAGCCAUGAGCUCCCCUGAAAACAUUAUUGGUGAACUUUUGGGGAGUCUCUGAAAUAUUGACAAUCAUGGAUCAUGCAUAAAAUUGGGCUGUUGUUGAUGCAUGAUUCAUGCAUGAGGAUGAUUCAUCCCAAAUUCACUUUAUGCAUGAUGCGUGGCAGCACAAUGUCUACAUAUACAAUGAGAACUUAGAACAAAACAAGGCGGCUUACUCGCAAGUUCUGGAUUUAUUUAAAAAAUCUACACCAACCAACUUUGAAAAGAAAACACAAACAUUAGCACUGAUCAGAAUAAUAAUGAAUUAAACUAUAUAACAUGCUUUAUGAAUGCAACUAUCUUUAAGUGAAGAAGCCAUAGUAUAGUUAGCACAUGGACCAUGAGACUGAUGGUCCAUAGUAGAAUACAUGUGUCGCCCUUCCUCCAGGACUUUUUGUCUAUCGCAGCAAACUAUUUUAAAACAAAAUAAUAUUUUCUGAAAGAUCACUGGUCCUUCAGUGUGGAGCGCAGACUACUUAAAAGCAUUAAUCUUAAGAUUUUUUUCACAUCAUUUAAGAAAUUCUCAAAAGCAAAAAGCUCUCAUUGAAAAUGAAUUCAAUGGUCUGAAUAAGUAGAUUGAUAUUAGUAAAUCUGUUUGUAGCUAAUGGGCUAAACCAGGACAAACCACUGGUAAAGUAUUACUGGAACAUCAGAUUAUUUUAGAUUGAUGUUGUAGCAGUAAAGCAUAAUUCUACAUAUAAGGAUUUGUGUUGGUUGCUCACGUUCAUGAAAAUCACGUUUUUUUUUACCUUAUUAAUACGUGUAUAUGGUGUUUUUAUAUGGGAGAAGACACAGUGAAAGAAGCAGUCAGCACCGUGGCUGUGCAUUCUCACCUUAAAACUGCAUCUGAAAAAGACAGAUUUCUGGGAGCUUUUCAGGCAUAACAAACCUUUCCAUAGGUGAAUUACUCCAGUAUUGCAAUUUAACAUUGUGUAGUGUAGGGUAAUCUUACGGUGUUUCAACAGAGUAGGGGAGCUGGUGUGCUCAGUAGCAGUGAGUGGUUAGACGUGGGAUUUUAAUAGAUCUGCACAUUCUAGAGGAAGCAACCCUGCAGAGUUGCGUUUAAGCCAUUUUAAGGCAGGAAGAUGAUUUUUUUCACAGAAAAGUUUCUAAAUAUAUAACUUUGAUACACAGAGCUGAGUUUUUAUGGGUUUAAUCAUUAAUCAGAGAGGGCCACUCUGGUAAAUAAAAAAAGGCAUUUAUGAGCAUACGUCCCUUACUUGUUAAUUGGUUUAUUGUUUUGGCACUUUACUUUUGCUAUGUGGUCACUAAAAUAGAUGAGAUUGCGUUAAUCUUUUUUAAAAGACUGUUUAGUUGUUGUUUGCUCUGAUAAAAUGCUGAAACUGUUCAAAUACUUGUACUGUUUCCAUUUGUUUUCUUCUAACUGUGUUUACUUGUUAAAGACUAUAGGGACUAGUAACUAUAACUUACUGAUAACUGUUAGUUUCACUGUUAUUAACCAAUGCUGAUGUGAAUCAGCACCAUAAGUUAUAAGUUGAACUUCAGAGCUUCACUGUAAAUGGCAGAGAGGUAUUACGUAUCGCACUGUAUAAAUUGAACCUGGUUUAUUUCGUGCAUGAGUAAAGUCAUAACUGUUGAGAUAAUGUUUUUAUGAGGUUUAUAUAACAGACUGGUUGGUUGGAAAUGUCUGUGUGCUGUGAUGAAUCUACAAACUGGUACAGGAAAAAAAAAUCACCAUUUUGCACUGAGUAUAAAAAGCCACCGGUGUUUAUAAGGAAAAGUAUGCUACCAUAUGGUGUUGAGUUCCAGCCAAGACUUUGCUAUCAUUGUCAUUAUUUGCUUCUCAAUUAUUCUAAUCCUAAUGUUUAUGAGGUGAGAAGCUGAAACUGUUGCAAAUGUGUAUUAUAUUUGUAAUUGUGUGUGUUGCUGCGUGUGCUGCACUGUUGGACUGAGCAGAUCAGGGUAGAUGGGCAACACAGUGAUGAUAAGCAGGAACAACAGAACAGCUGUAGCACAAAUUAGUAAAAAAAAAUGUUUACCAUACUGCAGAGAAUUAGAUGAUGGACCUCUACUGGUCUACAAUUUUAGUGUCUACAAAAAAGUGUCAGGCACAAACUUUGUAUCAAAAGCACCAGAAAAAUUUUAACUUGGUGCUCAAAUCAGUUCAGGUCUGGUGUGUUUAUGAAAAUGAAUCCAUUUAUUCAUUCUUUAUUUUUCUUCGAGGCUUUUUAAGUCCAUCUGAGAUAUUAGGUAGAAAUGCUCACCAGAGACAAUCCACUGUUAACACAAGGACAUCACUCCUCAUCACAAUCAUCCCCACAAUCAGAACUAAAGAAUCUUUUUGAUAAACGGUGAAGAGUCUUUAAUCAGAACUAAUUAAGCGAAUUUCUCCAGACAGUGUACCACCUGGACGAUUGACAGCUUCACAUCUUUUGGGAAAAAAUUCUUUGUUUGACACCAAAACUGCCUUUUAAAGGACUAGUAUGACAUUCUUUGAAAAUGUGCUUUUUCUCCUUUCUUGCUGAGAGUUGGAUGAGAAGAAUGAUGUCACUCUCAUGCCUUCGCCUUGUAUCCAUGAGGUGUUUAGCGUAGCUUAACAUAAAGACUGAAAAAGGGGAAACAGCUUCCCAGGCUGUAUCCAUAAUUCAAAGAUCUGUACUUGCACCUCUAAAGCUCAUUAACUAAUAUGACAUAUUUUUGUGUUGUUAUCUGUGUUUUUAUGGUUAGACAUUUUAUACUGCAGUCAUUUCUUGCCGAACAUUUUUUUAUCCACCCAACAUUUCUCGUUGGUGUCUCUGCUGGCUUCCUGGCCAUGUCUCAUUGACAAUAAUCUAGAAAGACACCAGUCCUAGAGUGUAGCUAAGGCUGGAAUGCGGGACUUUUACGUAGAAUAAUGUGCUUCACAUUCAAGGUCGAACCAAACGAGUUCACACAAUGCUGAUUAGGUCUAUUGGUGCCAGGUACAUCCCUCUGCAUUUCACAGUUUUAAAUGCACUGUCUCCAGCC